UACGUAGGUGGCAAGCGUUGUCCGGAUUUAUUGGGUUUAAAGGGUGCGUAGGCGGUUCCAUAAGUCAGUGGUGAAAUACGGCAGCUCAACUGUCGAGGUGCCAUUGAUACUGCGGAACUUGAGUACUGAUGAGGUAGGCGGAAUUGACGGUGUAGCGGUGAAAUGCUUAGAUAUCGUCAAGAACACCGAUAGCGAAGGCAGCUUACCAAGCAGUAACUGACGCUGAGGCACGAAAGUGCGGGGAU
rnacentral:rRNA from 1 species